rnacentral:misc_RNA from 1 species
CGUUCCCUCUGAAUCUCUCUUUCUUGAGCCAAAAAUCCUUCUUCCCUCUACCAAUUUUCCUGUGGUAUUCAAAUCAUUCUUUGUUUAGAAAUUUGCCGAGAAAUUCCUGGUUCUUCCCUAUAUUUAUUCCGCCAUUGACGAAGAUUUUAGAAGAAGCGUGGAUGUUGUAAUGGAGGCGAAAGGCGGUAAGAAGAAAUCUAGCAGUAGUAGCAGCAAGAGUAGUAAAAGGCAACAAUACGAAGCUCCGCUCGGAUACAUUAUUGAAGACGUUCGUCCCCACGGUGGCAUUGAGAAGUUCCGUUCUGCUGCGUAUUCCAACUGCGUGAGGAAGCCAUCCUGAUACCUUUGCUUUAGUGAUCGUAAUUAGGGCCAAUUUCUUGUUCAUUCUGGGAAAAAAAAUCCUUCCAUAUUUCUUUCGCUUGCUUUUGUUGAUUUUUCCUGUUAUUGUGAGAAGCUUCGACUUCCUCUGCAACCAUGACUGUGUUCACCGAACUUACAGGCGCACCGGCGCCGGAACAACCUCCUUCUCCAAUCGGUUUCGAAGGCUUCGAAAAACGCCUAGAAAUCACAUUCUCUGAGCCACCUAUUUUCCAGGACCCUGAAGGACUCGGUCUCCGAGCUCUGACUCGAACUCAACUCGAUUCAAUCCUCGAAGCCGCUUGCUGCACUAUCGUAUCUCAUCUCUCUAACUCCGAUUUUGAUUCUUACGUCCUUUCCGAAUCGAGUCUCUUUGUUUAUCCACGAACAAUCAUCCUCAAAACUUGCGGCACCACCAAGCUUCUCCUCUCCAUUCCGAUGAUACUCCAACUCGCUGAAUCGCUCUCACUCGCCGCCGUCGCUGUGAAAUACUCCCGCGGAACCUUCAUCUUCCCCGACUAUCAACCUGCUCCUCACCGGAGCUUCUCCGAGGAAGUCACCGCACUGAAUGUUUACUUCGGUCAUUUCCACUCCGAGGCAUACGUGAUCGGCGAUCCAGCCGUUCCGAAUCGCAACUGGCAUAUCUACUCCGCCGUGAAAUCGCACUCGAAUGUGAACCGUAUGGAUCUGGUUUCUCUGGAGAUUUGUAUGACGGGCUUGAACAGAGAGAAGGCCGCGGUGUUCUUCAAAAAAUCUGGAGAAGACUCAUCGGCUGAGAAAAUGACGAAAAUGUCCAAAAUCUCUGAGAUAAUCCCGAAUCACACCAUUUGCGACUUCGAAUUCGAUCCGUGUGGUUACUCGAUGAACGGGAUUGAAGGUGCAGCGUAUUCUACUGUGCACGUUACUCCAGAGGAUGGCUUCAGUUACGCCAGCUACGAGGCUAUGGGCUUCGACGCGACGGAGCUGCCGUUCUCGCAGCUGGUGAAUCGGGCGCUACGAUGCUUUUCUCCGGCGGAAUUCUCAAUCGCCGCCACGUGCGGCGGCGCCUCCCGCUCGUGGGCUGUAGAUCAUGCUGACG